rnacentral:rRNA from 1 species
UACGUAGGGACCAAGCGUUGUUCGGAUUUACUGGCGUAAAGGGCGCGUAGGCGGCGUGUUAAGUCAGCUGUGAAAUCUCCAAGCUUAACUUGGAACGGUCAGCUGAUACUGAUGUGCUAGAGUGCAGAAGGGGCAAUCGGAAUUCUUGGUGUAGCGGUGAAAUGCGUAGAUAUCAAGAGGAACACCUGAGGUGAAGACGGGUUGCUGGGCUGACACUGACGCUGAGGCGCGAAAGCUAGGGUAGCAAACGGG